AUUGAACGCUGGCGGCAUGCCUUACACAUGCAAGUCGAACGGCAGCGCGGACUUCGGUCUGGCGGCGAGUGGCGAACGGGCGAGUAAUACAUCGGAACGUACCCUGUUGUGGGGGAUAACUAGUCGAAAGAUUAGCUAAUACCGCAUACGACCUGAGGGUGAAAGUGGGGGACCGCAAGGCCUCACGCAGCAGGAGCGGCCGAUGUCUGAUUAGCUAGUUGGUGGGGUAAAGGCCCACCAAGGCGACGAUCAGUAGCUGGUCUGAGAGGACGAUCAGCCACACUGGGACUGAGACACGGCCCAGACUCCUACGGGAGGCAGCAGUGGGGAAUUUUGGACAAUGGGGGCAACCCUGAUCCAGCAAUGCCGCGUGUGUGAAGAAGGCCUUCGGGUUGUAAAGCACUUUUGUCCGGAAAGAAAUCGCGCUGGUUAAUACCUGGCGUGGAUGACGGUACCGGAAGAAUAAGCACCGGCUAACUACGUG
rnacentral:rRNA from 1 species